rnacentral:ncRNA from 1 species
UCCGCGCAACUGGCGAUACAUGGCGGGCCUUGCAGACCUUUCGGUCAGGGCAGGGCGGCCUGAGGUGGUGAACCACCGGGAAGCGCGGCGCGCGAUGGGCUGAUGUCGGCCUCUCGCGGAUCAGCCGUUCGCCUGGGCAGCCCU